rnacentral:rRNA from 1 species
CAGCCGCCACGGUAAUACGUAGGGUGCAAGCGUUAAUCGGAAUUACUGGGCGUAAAGCGUGCGCAGGCGGUUUGUUAAGACAGAUGUGAAAUCCCCGGGCUCAACCUAGGAACUGCAUUUGUGACUGGCAAGCUAGAGUGUGGCAGAGGGGGGUGGAAUUCCGCGUGUAGCAGUGAAAUGCGUAGAUAUGCGGAGGAACACCGAUGGCGAAGGCAGCCCCCUGGGCCAACACUGACGCUCAUGCACGAAAGCGUGGGGAGCAAACAGGAUUAGAUACCCCUGUAGUCCCUGUCUCUUAUAC